rnacentral:sRNA from 2 species
CGCCUUUUUGCUAUGCGCAGAAUUUGAUGAUUCGAACCUGCAGCAGGUUCGGUGUUGAGCGUAGCGAAACAACGGAGCCGCUGGCGGCGACGGCCCCGAAGGGCGAGCGAAGCGAGUCAUCCUGCACGACCCACCA